rnacentral:tRNA from 1 species
AAAUAAAAAGCGAUAACGCAAUCAGUUUCGACCUGAUUCUUGGUAUAAAAAUACCUUUAUUUA